UACGUAGGGUGCGAGCGUUAAUCGGAAUUACUGGGCGUAAAGCGUGCGCAGGCGGUUUUGUAAGCCUGAUGUGAAAUCCCCGGGCUUAACCUGGGAAUGGCAUUUGGGACUGCAAGGCUCGAGUGCGGCAGAGGAGACUGGAAUUCCUGGUGUAGCAGUGAAAUGCGUAGAUAUCAGGAGGAACACCGAUGGCGAAGGCAGGUCUCUGGGCUGACACUGACGCUCAUGCACGAAAGCGUGGGGAGCAAACAGG
rnacentral:rRNA from 1 species